AGAUGGCGACCGGCGCACGGGUGAGUAACACGUAUCCAACCUGCCGAUAACUCGGGGAUAGCCUUUCGAAAGAAAGAUUAAUACCCGAUGGUAUAAUCAGACCGCAUGGUUUGAUUAUUAAAGAAUUUCGGUUAUCGAUGGGGAUGCGUUCCAUUAGGCAGUUGGUGAGGUAACGGCUCACCAAACCUCCGAUGGAUAGGGGUUCUGAGAGGAAGGUCCCCCACAUUGGAACUGAGACACGGUCCAA
rnacentral:rRNA from 1 species